GUCCGAUAAAACUCCAGCAUGUUAAUCUCUGCCUCAGAGUCACCUAACCUGCAACAUCCCUCGUAUCCUGCUGAGCAUGGGUUCAAGUGAUUCUGCCGUGAAGCAUUGCUUAGAAUCUGUCCUAGAUUUGUCUUCUAAACUCAGCACCAAAAGCUAUGUGAACUUGAGUGUUGCCCUAAGGAAUACUAAAGGAAGUUCUUCUGAUGGAAGCAAAAUAAAUCCAGAAGGAAAUUUGAAACUUUGAGUAUGUAGGAAAUACAACAGAAAUUGUGAAAAAGCAUCAACAUUUGACAUCCAACAUACAGAGGACCUCAGUAACAACGCAUCAGCACGUAAGACUGUGCUCAUCAUUCCUUUACCAAGCCUGAAGGGGCAAAAACAGCAGGUAACAAGCAGAAGAAGGGUGUAUGCAGAAGGAACAAGAGAAGCUCACGUCACCCUUCUCUUCACUGCCAGCUUCCACAGCAAACUGCAGCUAAAGCAGUUUCUUUUCUUCUUUAUGGGGGAGAUGGCAGUGGGGAUGGAUGAAAAGAUAUGAAUCAGAUGAAAAGAUAAAGCUGUAAUUAUAGAUAAUUCUUUAUUUUUUCAUACCUCAAAAAUAUAACUACUUGUUCCUUGAUAGUAACUAGAAACCCUAACGUGAUGGUUCUCCAAGUGUGCCCCUCUGGCCCUCUCCACCAGCAUCAGAAUCAUCUGGAAACGUGUUAGAAAUACAAAUUCUCAGGGCCACCCCAAACCUACUGAGUGAGAGACUCUGGGGUACAGCCUAGAAAUCUCUCAUGAGCAUGCCAUAUGAUUUUGGUUAAGCUAGAGUCUGAGGACCACUGAAAGAUGGGGUUUGUUUGUGAUUUCAUCUAGGUGUGCAGAAGAAAUGUCAGCAGAGCUGGUUUAACAGACAGUGAUCGAAAAGAGUGGAUUUUUGCAUGAGACUUUCAGGAGCUACCAGGCUCCACACACCAGUUACAGGUCGUGGCAGAGCAGGGAAAGGCCUGAGAGAAACGUGGAAGACAGCACGCUUGAGGGAGCCUGGCAGUACGAUGAUGCUGCCCGCCGCAGCUCUGCUGAUGUCAGAAUGACAUCCCCGAAGUACUUCCAGCUCUCUCAGAUGUUCCCAAGGACCCAGACAUAUGGAAGAUACUAAGAAGUGGAGAAGUACGUCUGAAAGACUGGCAAACGUUAUGCCUUUAAGGCCACUACCAAGAACCUGAAUACAUUACCCUUUUUGACCUCAUUAGUGGGCCCCAUUUAAACAUUUAUAUCUCUUUUGUUUUCAUGUUUCUUGACCUAUUCCUGGAUAUUUUGUUUCUAGCCACUGAGGAAAAGCCAUAACAUUUAUAUGUGAUCCUAAUAGAAGAAUGAAUUGAGUUACUUGAUGUGUUAUUCUCCAAAGAUUCAUCAAAAUAGCUUGUAGCCCCCUUAAUUGUUGUUUCCUUUUUUGUCCACUCCAGAACCAACAGACUAAAUGCUGGUUAAUUACUUUGCUGACUCAGA
rnacentral:lncRNA from 1 species